CGUAGAUGCAUUACAGACAAAACCUUAUCCUUUCAUUUGAGGGACCACAUCAAUUUGGAGGACUUUGAGAUUUCCCUCACACCCAUUCACCAAAGCUCAAUACUCCCAAAGUUCACUCAAAGUUCAUCAUUAGAACUUUGAGAAAACUGAGCUGAAGCCACUGCAAAGCCGAGAGACACCCAAAGUCAGUGAAGGAAAACGAAGAAAGGCGAAAAGAGAAACCGAACGGAGCUUACCGGGGACUUGGAGAGAUUUUUGCUCGAAGAGUCAUCGGAGUUUAAGUGGUCGAAAGCUUCAGAUCUCCUUCCGUCGGUACUUCUUCUUCCCCAUUUACUCACUUCAUGCUAAGAUCUCUAACAUAGUUGUUAUUCACUCAAUAUUGAAUCGAUGUUUCUACUUUUACCGUAAUGCAUAAAUAACUGGAUAUUUGUUGAAUGAGUGUAUUAAUCUCUAUUAUCGCUUUGAAUAUGCCAUCGAAGCUCCUUGCGUCCCAUAUUGCUCCAUUCAUGUGCGCUCUGUUUUGAAUGUUAGGUUUCAAUUUGGUAAACUUGGGAUCUAGGGUAUGAUCGAUUGUUUGCAUGUGUGUUAGAUUUGUGAUGCUCAUCAAGGUUGGGUUAGAUUCUUUGUGAAAUCUGAUGCAGAAAUGCGGUUGAUUCCAGUUUCCAAAGGAAACUUCUUUUAAACAAAUAAUGUAAUUAAUAAAAUGGGUUUAUUUGGUUUUAAUAUAUAUGAAUAGUCAUUAGUGAUUGCAUUAUUCAAGGCCAGCUAGCUGGUGAAUUUAAUUUGUUUUCUACAGUUGGGAAGGCCAAAAGGCUUUUAGCCGCCACAUGUUUCAAGUAGUUGUACAACUGCCUUUCACUUGGUAGUAAGCGGAUUAUUUUCGAAUUCAAGGCCUAUUCACCUUCCACAUUUCAGAUUGCUGUAACUUGUUUUUUUUUAAAUGUAAAGGAGUUUCUUUUGGGCCUUAGGGCCCGUUGCGAAGCCGCACAUUUUUGAGGUCCUCUGUUGGGCCUCUUCUGGUCCACUAUUUCAAGAAUUUCACCUUUUUCAUAACUUGUUUUUUUUUAAAUGUAAAGGAGUUUCUUUUGGGCCUUAGGGCCCGUUGCGAAGCCGCACAUUUUUGAGGUCCUCUGUUGGGCCUCUUCUGGUCCACUAUUUCAAGAAUUUCACCUUUUUCUCAUUUCCCACACAUUCAUAUUUAUUUUACUUAAUAUGUGCAUUAUUUGCCAAAUAUCUCAAUUAAAAUAACUAUGACUAAAUAAGGAUAUUCAUUCGUUCGCUUUCGAUUUUUUUUAUUUUUUUUUAUUUCAUUAGGAUAUUAUAACUAAUCGAAUGGUGGAUUAAAGGUUAAUAUCAACAAAUAAUUUACUUUACUUUCUAAAAUAAAUUUGAUUUUGGUCUAAUACCAAAUGAUCUUUCUCAAAACAUAUUACUCCUAAUUCAACAUAUUUAAUUAAUAUACUCUCCCAAAAUUAUUUAAAUUAAUUUUGAAUGAAAAGGAGAAUAGUAAGCUUCCGCUUUAUUAUCUCUCGAUUAUUC
rnacentral:lncRNA from 1 species